rnacentral:rRNA from 1 species
UACGUAGGGUGCGAGCGUUAAUCGGAAUUACUGGGCGUAAAGCGUGCGCAGGCGGUCUGUUAAGACCGAUGUGAAAUCCCCGGGCUUAACCUGGGAACUGCAUUGGUGACUGGCAGGCUUUGAGUGUGGCGGAGGGGGGUAGAAUUCCACGUGUAGCAGUGAAAUGCGUAGAGAUGUGGAGGAAUACCGAUGGCGAAGGCAGCCCCCUGGGCCAACACUGACGCUCAUGCACGAAAGCGUGGGGAGCAAACAGG